rnacentral:rRNA from 1 species
UACGUAGACCUCGAGCGUUAUCCGGAAUGAUUGGGCGUAAAGCGUCCGCAGGUGGCAGUUCAAGUCUGCUGUCAAAGACCGGGGCUUAACUUCGGAAAGGCAGUGGAAACUGAACAGCUAGAGUAUGGUAGGGGCAGAGGGAAUUCCUGGUGUAGCGGUGAAAUGCGUAGAGAUCAGGAAGAACAUCGGUGGCGAAGGCGCUCUGCUGGACCAUAACUGACACUCAGGGACGAAAGCUAGGGGAGCGAAUGGG